GGGGAUUUAGCUCAGUGGUAGAGUGCUUGCCUAGCAAGCUUAAAGCCCUGGGUUCAGUCCCCA
rnacentral:tRNA from 1 species